rnacentral:lncRNA from 1 species
GGUCCAUUUGCCUUUGAGCCAAAAUGUCCUCGUUAAUUUAAUUAAAAGUUCAGUAAAGCUUGUCUUAAUUAAUGGGCUUUGUACUUAAAUAGUAAUCCUAGAUUAAUGUGCUAUUGUUAGGGUUUCCCCUCGCAUGGUUUGAAUGAGUGCCUGUUUGGAAAUAAGGCUUUGUUAUUUGGGUUACAAUAAUGAAUGGUAAUUGAUCUGGAUUUUGGUUUCGUCCAUAUAAUCUUGAAUUAAUUAUAUGUUAAGUGCUUUUAGUAAGACGAUAUUUUAAUGUGAACUUGAAUUUAAAUACAAAAAGAAGAAAACAUCGUGAGGAUUUUGGAAUUGGAUCUUCUCUGAGGCAACAACCCCUCGGGCUUGAAUGAGUGCCUGUUUGGAAAUAAGGCUUUGUUAUUUGGGUUACAAUAAUGAAUGGUAAUUGAUCUGGAUUUUGGUUUCGUCCAUAUAAUCUUGAAUUAAUUAUAUGUUAAGUGUUUUUAGUAAGACGAUAUUUUAAUGUGA